UUCUCUCCUGCGUGGGGACCAGCGCUGAGCCACACAGGCUCCCUCAGGGCGGGGUCUCUUGCGCGCCCCUCGCCUUCCCACGGCGGGCAUCUGGCCCUGGCUGCCUCCUGCGUGCCCCUCGCCUUCCCACGGCGGGCACCCGGCUGGGGCACGGGGACAUCUGCCACCUGGCCAGCCCCUUCUCCCCUCGGGGCUUAGGCUGACUCCCCACGAGGCCUUCCCGGCCUCCUGUCUGAAGUGGGUCCCUUUCCUUACUGGUCCCUCUCCAAAGCCCUGGCUGUAAGACUCGGGGACCCCAGCAUCUGCACAUCUGGCAGAGUGGACCUCCUGUGAGAACUGGCUGUGAGCUGUGGAGCCCAGGGCCAGAGGAGCAGUAAGGGUGGCAUGGGGACCAGGACAGGCUGCUCUGGGCUAGCGGCAAACACGUCAGGCCUGGCCCCCAGUCCGCUGCUGCCCCUCCCUUUCACCUUCCAUCCAGCACUAAGGGAGUCUGGCCACGGCCUAAUACAGGAGGGCUUGUGGGAGGAGACACCCACCCCCUCUUUCUGCACCUCUCCCUUCUUCCAUGCCACCCCCAGGCCAGGAGCCACCACAGCCCUGUCUGUGACUCUCAGCUCCUGAGGCUGGGCCCUUCCCCGGGGAAGCUGCAUGACCAUGGCCACGUACAGGAGGUAGGAGACAGAGGCCUCCACGGUGGACGAUCGUGGCGUGAAGUCCACGUUGACCACGUUGUCGGUGCUGGGGGAGCGGAUGAAGGCCAGGGACCCGCGGCGCUCUCCCUGUGGUCAGGAAGCAGCCCGGAGACCCUAAAACUCCAUUGGCCUCAUGUCCAGAACUGAAUCAGGUAGAGAACGGAGCAGAGCCCAAUGGGGCACAGAAGCCACACAGCUGAGUGCCAGAGGAUGGAAGUGGGGCCGCCUAUGUGUCCUCAGACCCCACCCGCCUGAUGGCAGGGCCUGGAGAGCAUGAGGUUGUGCAGGAGCACAGGGCAGAGUGGGCUUAUGGCUGGAGUCAGUGUCCCCAGGGCCGGCAGGGGCACGGGUGUGGAGGGAACGUCAGCUCACUGCACUCAGACCUCGCCAGGUGGGCACCCGCGCCGCCUUCAGUGUGCAGGAUGCUUCCAGGAAAGCCCCCGGGAUCGGGUGGGUGCCGCUGUUCCCACUGAAGAUGCGGCCCCCAGUUCACUGCCCACUCGGGGGGGCUUUGAGGGUCAUUGGUUCUGAGGGCCCUCUGCCUGCUCUUUUGCUUCUAAAUCCAGCAUCUUCUGUAUGACCUUUGUCCCUCUCCUGCCACCCCACGAAGACAGACGUGAGGGUCAGGGGAGCCACGGUGCUAACCGCCACUCUGGGCAGGCACAGGCGAGGGCUGUGGAGCACCCGGGCACGUGGGGUCUUUGGAGGGGCUGCUCCCCACACCACUUCCCCUGCCCCUGCCGAGCCCCGCUGUGGGGUGGGGGGCGCAGGGAGAGAAAGCAGCUGCCCUGUGUGAGAGCCAGGAGGGACACCGGGCAGGCAGAUGCCACCCCAGGUGUGGAGACCCCCGCUACUGAGUGACCGGGAGGAGGCCACAGGCUCCCCACAUGCAGCUGAGCCCAGGGUUGUGGUCAUGGGUCGUGGGUCAAGGAUGGUGGCUGGUGUGGUUGGGGGAGAGGCUCAAGGCCCGCCCGCUAACCUUGUCACCUAUGUGGGGGUGAGGGGAGCCCGCCAGAGGCUAGAGCCCCCACUGCCCCUUCCCACCCUCCAGCCAGGCUCCAGGCCUCCUAGGGCCAGAGUAUCUGAGCUUUCUCUCGCUUGCCGGGCCUGUGGUUUGGGGGUUUGUGUGGAGCCUGGUCCAGGAGCCCUCCUUCCUGAUCUGCACUGGCUGGCCCUCCUGACAGCCCCAGGCCCCCGUGCCCUCUGCCAGGAGGUGCCUUGCCACUCGGCGUGGCCCCAGUCACGGGUGGCACAUCUGGGGUGAAUGCAUGUCAGUGGAGGCAGAAUCAUUCUGUCUGAAUGAAUGGAGUUUCCAGGCCCCCACUGGCCCUCUGUGUGAGGGUCUGCAGGGUUUGGCAGGACAGGUCUUUCUCUCCGGCGAGAGCACCCACCCUGACCGGCUGCUGGAUGAGGGCACCAAAGCUCGCUAGGGAGGGCUCUGUCCUUAGGGAGGAGCUGCAGAAUCCCUGCAGCUGUGCCCCCAGGCCCCGCCUUGCACACUUCUUGAAGCCAGGGCGCCCCUGGGGAGGUCAGGGCAGGCCGGGGAGGCUGAGGCCCACCUGCCAUAGUGGGCAGGUGUGGGAGCCAGGGGCGGCAGUGGCCUCGGGGCUGGGUGGGGCACCUGGCCUCUGGUCUCUGGAGCAGUCAGGGGCUCUGCAGAUGCUGAGAGGCCUGCUCACAGUGGACUGGGAGAUGCUGCAGCAGCCUCAGAGGCAUGGCCGGCCCACGGCGGGAGACGGCCCUGCUGCUGCCCCUCUGCCCGUGCGUGUGCACCUGUGGGCACCUGCGUGUGCUGGGGCAGGCCGGGCUGUACUGGGACCAGGUCCCGUAACAGCCUACCUGCUUACCGUCCGCUCCCAUCUCUGGGGAAAGCAAGGGAGCUCGGGGUCCUAGGACCUGACCUCAGCGUUCACCCCCCACCAGCACCGCAGUCACCAGGACUGUGACUCAGUUUACCCCACGAGAGCCCCUGGGAUUCCCAGGGCAUCAGAAGGCCCAUCAGCCUCCCAUGAACUGCUGGGGAGGGCCUGGCCUUGGGACGCGGGUGCAGGGGCCUCUCCUCACUGCCCCCAUGGCACCCACAGCCAGUGCCCGAGCCUACUGCAGCCCCGACCCGGCAGAGCAAGCGGCUCUGCUACCUCAGCCACGUAGCUGAUGGCAUCCUUCAGGUUCAGCUCGUGGAAGACAUUCAGGAUCCGGUCUCGAGACUUCUGGGCCGACCGCCUCAUGAGGACCCUGCUGAGGAACUUCCUGUCGAAGUGGGACCACCUGUAGGGACAGACCUCGGGUGUGAGCCUCAGGUGACAGGCGCCCUAGAGCCCGCCGGACGCGUGGCCCGGCCCCUUCUCUCCUGAAUUUUGUUUGCUAUAGUGACCCUGUAGGCGCGUUUAAAAUGAGGGAAGCAGCCCCUGCCACGCGCCCAGGCCGUCCGCCGUUCUUCCGCCUGUCCUGUUGGAUGGAGGCCGUUAGACGCAUAUGAAACUGCAUGCCGCCUCCUCCAGAGGGUGGCUCAGGACACGGUGGGUGUCAGGCCUGGUCGGGCAAGGGGGCUUCGGCCACGUGGGGGGCACUUUCAGCUGCACAGGAGGAAGGGCAGGGGCGGACAGACACCCUGAGCCCUUAGACUUGUGGGAGCCAAGCUGACCAGAGUGAGGUUUUUUUAGCCUAAGGGAAUUAGAGUAUUCACUGGUUAUCCGGAUCAGAAGGGACGGUGGCCUGGCCGGACUUUUAGAGGAAACUCUGGGGCACAAGGAGGUGAUGCCUGUCACUCUUGGACAUGGGUGCAGCCGACAGAGCCGCCCUCCAGGGCACAGGGUGGGCCCGGGUGAGCUUGUGUGCUCACACCUGGGCAGGCCCCGUGGCAGCAAUGGCAGCUCUCCUGUACAGGCUGAGUUUCAGCCACACCAAGAAGUCAAAGCUAACUGAGGCCGUGCCUUCCGAGACCCCCGGGAUGGCCCCUGGGAGGCCAAGGAGUCGGGGACUGGGUACCUGGAGCAGAGUCACUAUGGCCACGGAGAACCGCAGCUGAGCUUUAUGAAGCCACGUGGCCACACCUCCCGGUGCCUCCACCCCAAGCAAACACAGAUCGCUCAGAAAAUGGGAACCCAGGGCAAAUUGUAUGUGCUCCUUACUGCGUUUAUUAUAAGUGUCACAUGUUUUUUAUAAUAAAACAUAGGUGAUUUCACCUUAA